rnacentral:rRNA from 1 species
GAUGAACGCUGGCGGCGUGCCUAAUACAUGCAAGUCGAGCGAACAGAUGAGAAGCUUGCUUCUCUGAUGUUAGCGGCGGACGGGUGAGUAACACGUGGGUAACCUACCUAUAAGACUGGGAUAACUCCGGGAAACCGGGGCUAAUACCGGAUAAUAUUUUGAACCGCAUGGCUCAAUAGUGAAAGACGGUUUCGGCUGUCACUUAUAGAUGGACCCGCGCCGUAUUAGCUAGUUGGUGGGGUAAAGGCCUACCAAGGCAAGGUUGGUUAGCCGGCCUGAGAGGGUGAACGGCCACAUUGGAACUUAGAUACGGUCCAGACUCCUACGGGAGGCAGCAGUGAGGAAUAUUGCGCAAUGGGCGAAAGCCUGACGCAGCGACGCCGCGUGGAGGAUGAAGGUCUUUGGAUUGUAAACUUCUGUUAAGUGGGAAAAAAUUUUCUAGAAUAAUAUUCUAGGGAGCUGAUUGUACCACUAGAGAAAGCACCGGCUAACUCCGUGCCAGCAGCCGCCGUAA